CACAACGUGACAAUUCAAUUCUCGUACAUAGCAUCAGGAAUAGAUAGGCGUGGGGAUAAAAAAAGGCCAAAAAAAAAAAAAAAAUCUAGUGUAGUUGAGUAAUUGUUAUAUUAACAGGGGCCAAAUUAAAAUUUUACCAAAUUAUAGGACCAAAAAUAUAUUUAGGGUUUUUGACCUCCUAUAUAAGAUUACAGUGAAGAGCAUUGCAGCCGUCUCUGAAUAAACCUCCUAUAUAUUUCGAGAAUUGAGACUCGGGGAUGCUGAGGAUCAGCGCACAUGUCUCCUUGGUAUUCUUAUUGCAGUAGCAGAGGAGGUUUGGACAACCGUGUUUGCAGGGCAGAAUGCCUGUCACGAAUGAGAGGAAUACUUCUGCUCCAAGGUACGUAGUUGUUUCUUAUUUAUUCCUUUAUUUGUUGAAAGAAUGGAACUGUAUGAUUAGAGUUGCAUAUGAGAAGGAGUCGGUCUGAUCUAGAACUUUUGUUUGACUUUUGUGUUUUGCAUACUUUUGGCCAAAAUAUUUACUCAGUUAUUGUGGCAAAAGAUGAGGUAAAAGAAGAAUGCUGAGGCUUUUGUGUUUAAAACUAUCAAGGGAGAAUCCCCUCAUGACCUUCAAAGUUGGCAUUGAAGAUGUAGGGGGGGGGUUGCUUGAGAAGAGAGUAGCCGUGGUGCUCCCUCCCAGACCACUCGGAUACCACUAGUGAAUAGAAAAGUUUUCUCUGCAUUGGAUCUCACUCGGUUCACCCCAUCCUUGACCAAGCUAGCAAAGGCAGUGCACUGGCAACAAACAGAGUUUGAUGAUCCCGAAUUAUUCAAGAUAAGAACAGAGUGGGUGGUAAACUGCUUCACUAUCAUUGAACAUCAAUGUGGUCAGUAGCAACCCCAAAUAGGGGUAGCAGUAAACUAGUAAUAGAGUGGAGAAUCGUAGGUACAUAUAGUGUAGUUCCACGAAUUGCAUUGACCUGUUUAGCUCUCUUUUUGUAACAACCAGCAAUUGCAUUUCUUAUGUAUUGAAUUUCUAUUUGGCUUGUUU